rnacentral:rRNA from 1 species
UAACCGACUCUCGGCAACGGAUAUCUCGGCUCUCGCAUCGAUGAAGAACGUAGCGAACUGCGAUACUUGGUGUGAAUUGCAGAAUCCCGUGAACCAUCGAGUCUUUGAACGCAAGUUGCGCCCGAAUCCUUUUGGACGAGGGCACGUUUGCCUGGGUGUCA